rnacentral:rRNA from 1 species
GACGAACCGAGCGAACGUUGUUCGGAAUCACUGGGCUUAAAGGGCGCGUAGGCGGAUUCUCAAGUCCGGGGUGAAAUCCCACAGCUCAACUGUGGAACUGCCUCGGAUACUGGGAGUCUCGAGGGUGGCAGGGGUAUGCGGAACUAUCGGUGGAGCGGUGAAAUGCGUUGGUAUCGAUAGGAACUCCGGUGGCGAAGGCGGCAUACUGGUCCACUUCUGACGCUGAGGCGCGAAAGCCAGGGGAGCAAACGGG